ACAGACAGGGUGAGACAGAAGGGUAGUAGCUACAGACAGGGUGAGACAGAAGGGUAGUAGCUACAGACAGGGAGAGACAGAAGGGUAGUAGCUACAGACAGGGUGAGACAGAAGGGUAGUAGCUACAGACAGGGUGAGACAGAAGGGUAGUAGC